rnacentral:rRNA from 1 species
GACAGUGUCAGGCGGGGAGUUUGACUGGGGCGGUACAUCUGUUAAAUAAUAACGCAGGUGUCCUAAGGUUAGCUCAGUGAGGACAGAAACCUCACGUAGAGUAAAAGGGCAAAAGCUAACUUGAUCUAUGACCUUCAGUACUGGUAUAGACCGCGAAAGCGUGGCCUAUCGAUCCUUUUGUUGUUCUUAAACGGUUGACAGUUUCAAGCAAGAGGUGUCAGAAAAGUUACCACAGGGAUAACUGGUAGCGCUAAGGCUUGAUGUGGUUACUGUAAAAGGUGAUCAAUUUAAACAGCAUCAAGCGGUGCAGCGUUACAAACUUUGGUGUUUAGUGGUGCCAAUGUAGUUUAUGGUUGGGCAACUAACUAUAUGCUACUUUCGGCCUAGCGUACAAGUCCCAUUGACUUGGGCUUAUUCUUAAUUGAGAUGUCUACGGGUUUGGGGCAACUUGGAUCCGUGGGUGAGCCAUAGAGGGUGAAAGUCCCUUAAUGCGCAGGUAUUGGUACCACGAACCAGAGCAGUGGCGUUUGGUAAAACAAGCGUUGCGAUUUGUUAGAGUCGGGUUGCUUGAGAGUGCAACCUAAAGAGCGAGGUAAACUGCUCGUAAGGCUAUGUGAAAUACGGCUACGACACCGAUAGCAAACAAGUACCGUGAGGGAAAGUUGCAAAGUACUUUGAAGAGAGAGUUAAAUAGGGCGUGAAACCGCUAGCUGGUAAAACCCGUCUUGAAACACGGACCAAGGAGUGUAGGAGGGUUGUGUUGGUAGCGUUGAAGGCUAUGAGGGAGUGAUCCUGGCUGGAGCUGCCAAUAGUACAGAUCUUGGUGGUAGUAGCAAAUACUCAAGUGAGACCCUUGAGGGCCAAUGUGGAGAAGGGUUCCAUGCUAACAGCAAUUGGACAUGGGUCAGUCGGUGAAUUAGGUUAAUAUUCCUAAACCAAGAUGGGGAGAUGGCACGGACCACGGGAAUCCGACUGUCUAAUUAAAACAAAGCAUUGCGAUGGCCUAAGAUUGUGGUGUUGACGCAAUGUGAUUUCUGCCCAGUGCUAUGAAUGUCACAGUGAAGAAAUUCAUCUAAGCGCUAGUAAACGGCGGGAGUAACUAUGACUCUCUUGUGGUAGCCAAAUGCCUCGUCAUCUAAUUAGUGACGCGCAUGAAUGGAUUAACGAGAUUCCCACUGUCCCUAUCUACUACCUAGCGAAACCACAGCCAAGGGAACGGGCUUGGCAAAAUCAGCGGGGAAAGAAGACCCUGUUGAGCUUGACUCUAGUCUGGCUUUACGCGGAGUAUGCAUGCGUAACGCAAGUUAUGUGUGUAUGCGUUGCGAGUGGAGCCACGAAGUCGUUUCGUAGAAUAUGAGGCGCAGAUUCAGCUAGGGUGUACGGUUUUUAACGAACCACGCUCUAGCAUAUUUCUGCUUGUCUCACUACUUGUAAGCGUACACUGCAACCAAUUAGACGGUCAAUCGUGGAAAUAGUUUGCAAUGCAACAGGGUAACUUGUUGCUUGUAAACGAUAAUAUUUGUGUAUCUACUGUAGGUAGCUCGAUUAGGGUCUUGUACCCUAUAUGGGGUGUCUGACAUAUUGGUAGAUGCGUGAACUACGAUUGAGUACUGAUUGGCAAAAUGAAAAUCGAAUCGCAAGAUUCGUUUACUCAUAGAAAGCGGCUAGCAUCGUAUUUGGGUACAAUUGUACGUCGCUAGUGUAAGCUUAGUAUUUUUGAAUUCAGGCACGUAUAUUGUCAGUGGGCUUGCUCGUUGAUAUAUGCGGUGUUUCCUGUCUAAUCGGGUAUUAACUUUACUGGCGAUUUGAUGCAAUUGCUACGAUAGCACUGAAUGCGAUAGUUAGUUUGCCAGAAUUGGCAGUGAGUAGGUCGGCUUUCCACACGCGUUGAAUUAUCGUUCGUUAAAAAACGAUUUGCUAUGAUUCAACGCCUAAGAGAAUGGCGAAAGCUAUUUCUGAAUCAAAGGCGGUGUAAACAAAACUGUAAAAUUUACUCUUAUUGGAGGAUGUUUUUUUACGUUUUUUGUGUUCCUCUUUAUGUGAAAUAUAAUAUCACACAAACAUUAUACAUGUGUAUAACUAUAUAUGUAAUAAAAUAUGUCUGAUAAAGAAACAUGGAGAGCUAAGCAAAAAAACACAUAAACAUCACUACAACUCUGAUAUAGUGUUAAAUGAACACCGCAUGACUCGAAAGGUGCUAUUUGUGCGGUUAUUCACUUAGCCGUGCAACUAGCAUUGGCGGUAACGCAAACAAGGCUCUGAGGAUCGAGUUGGUCGGGCUGUAUGCGAGAUACUUUCAUGAGUUUGUAUCUAUGCUGGACCUUUGUUGGUGGUUGAAUUUCGGUUUAAUUUCAUCAAUGUCGGAUCGGCAUGGAUCGCUCGUUUGUUGAUUGCUACAGCUACGCUGGUGGUUUGUUUGUGAUGCAGUUAUGCUGUGUUAUAAGCUGAUCAUCAAUAAAAAGGCGUCAUCGGCUAACAACUAACGAUCGAAUCAGAACUCAAGCUCUCGCAUAAAUGUGAAUCAGUUUCAUCUGGUAAAGCGAAUGAUUAGAGGCCUUGGGAGCGAAACGCUCUCAACCUAUUCUCAAACUUUAAAUGGGUGAGAUGUACGACGUACUUAACUGACGCCGUAUACUGAACAGAAUGUAUUGAGAGCUUAGUGGGCCAUUUUUGGUAAGCAGAACUGGCGAUGCGGGAUGAACCGAAAGUGAAGUUAAGGUUGCCGAUAAUGGUGUUAACAAUUGUGCACUAGCUACACUCAUGAGAUCCCAUGAAAGGUGUAAGUUGCUAAAGACAGCAAGGACGUGGCCAUGGAAGUCGGAAACAUCUAAGGAGUGUGUAACACUCACUUGCCGAAGCAACUUGCCCUGAAAAUGGAAAGCAGCUCGAGUGUUGAACCUAUACUUCACUCUAGUUAAGUAUCGAGUCGAUCGGUCUUGAUUAGGCCAGACACUGUAGGAUGCGCAAGCAUUGCUAUAGAUAACCAACAAAUGACGGCAUAGUGAAAUCAAAUCAUAUGUGAUCUGACGUCUAUAAAAAUGGCGUACAGCGCAACAUAUGCCCACUCGUAUGGUUAUACGCGCAAGUGUUAACCGGGUGGAGCAAAGAGAUACUUGACUGGUAUUCUCNCACUUGGCCGUGACCCAUAUCCGCAGCAGGUCUCCAAGGUUAACAGCCUCUGGUCACUUAGGAUAAUGUAGGUAAGGGAAGUCGGCAAAACGGAUCCGUAACUUCGGGAUAAGGAUUGUGAAGAGACAUGAGAGGUGUAGCAUAGGUGGGAGAUACAUAUCGGGCAACUGGUGUGUAUCGCAAGUGAAAUACCACUACUUUCAUUGUUUCUUUACUGA